GGAGGGUCCAGCUCAGAGGUAGAGCACGUGCUUAGCAUGCACGAGGUCCUGGCUUCAAUCCCCAGAACCUCCG
rnacentral:tRNA from 1 species